rnacentral:rRNA from 1 species
CGAACGGGUGAGUAAUACAUCGGAACGUGUCCGCUCGUGGGGGACAACCAGCCGAAAGGUUGGCUAAUACCGCAUGAGUUCUACGGAAGAAAGAGGGGGACCCGCAAGGGCCUCUCGCGAGCGGAGCGGCCGAUGACUGAUUAGCCGGUUGGUGAGGUAACGGCUCACCAAAGCAACGAUCAGUAGCUGGUCUGAGAGGACGACCAGCCACACUGGGACUGAGACACGGACCAGACUCCUACGGAAGGCAGCAG